AGCAGCCGCGGUAAUUCCAGCUCCAAUAGCGUAUAUUAAAGUUGUUGCAGUUAAAAAGCUCGUAGUUGAAUUUCAGGCCUGGCUGGACGGUCCGCCUUUUGGGUGAGUACUGUCUGUGGUCGGGUCCUACCUUCUGGCGAAGCGUCAUGGCCUUAACCGGCCGUGGCGGGGAACCAGGACUUUUACUGUGAAAAAAUUAGAGUGUUCAAAGCAGGCAGUCGCUUGAAUACAUUAGCAUGGAAUAAUGGAAUAGGACAAUGGUUCUAUUUGUUGGUUUCUAGGACCGUUGUAAUGAUUAAUAGGGAUAGUUGGGGGCAUUAGUAUUCAAUUGUCAGAGGUGAAAUUCUUGGAUUUAUUGAAGACUAACUACUGCGAAAGCAUUUGCCAAGGAUGUUUUCAUUAAUCAAGAACGAAAGUUAGGGGAUCGAAGACGAUCAGAUACCGUCGUAGUCUUAACCAUAAACUAUGCCGACUAGGAAUCGGGCGAUGUUGACAAAAUGACGCGCUCGGCACCUCU
rnacentral:rRNA from 1 species